UACGGAGGGAGCUAGCGUUGUUCGGAAUUACUGGGCGUAAAGCGCACGUAGGCGGCUUUUCAAGUCAGGGGUGAAAUCCCGGGGCUCAACCUCGGAACUGCCCUUGAAACUGGAAGGCUAGAAUCCUGGAGAGGCGAGUGGAAUUCCGAGUGUAGAGGUGAAAUGCGUAGAUAUGUGGAGGAACACCGAUGGCGAAGGCAGCCCCCUCGGUA
rnacentral:rRNA from 1 species